rnacentral:rRNA from 1 species
UACGGAGGAUCCAAGCGUUAUCCGGAUUUAUUGGGUUUAAAGGGUGCGUAGGCGGAUCGUUAAGUCAGUGGUCAAAUUGAGGGGCUCAACCCCUUCCCGCCAUUGAAACUGGCGAUCUUGAGUGGAAGAGAAGUAUGCGGAAUGCGUGGUGUAGCGGUGAAAUGCAUAGAUAUCACGCAGAACCCCGAUUGCGAAGGCAGCAUGCCGGCUUCCUACUGACGCUGAAGCACGAAAGCGUGGGGAUCGAACAGG